UAAUUGGAGAGUUUGAUCCUGGCUCAGAUUGAACGCUGGCGGCAUGCCUAACACAUGCAAGUCGAACGCGAAAGGGGGCAACCCUGAGUAGAGUGGCGGACGGGUGCGUAACACGUAGGAAUCUACCCAGUAGCGGGGGACAACCCGGCGAAAGCCGGGCUAAUACCGCAUAAGCCCUAUGGGGGAAAGCAGGGGAUCUUCGGACCUUGCACUAUUGGAUGAGCCUGCGGCGGAUUAGCUAGUUGGUAGGGUAAAGGCCUACCAAGGCGACGAUCCGUAGCUGGUCUGAGAGGACGACCAGCCACACUGGGACUGAGACACGGCCCAGACUCCUACGGGAGGCAGCAGUGGGGAAUAUUGGACAAUGGGGGCAACCCUGAUCCAGCAAUGCCGCGUGUGUGAAGAAGGCCUUCGGGUUGUAAAGCACUUUCGGUGGGGACAAAAAAGGUGGAGCUAAUAUCUUCGCCCUUGAUGGUACCCAAAGAAGAAGCACCGGCUA
rnacentral:rRNA from 1 species